GAUGAACGCUGGCGGCGUGCCUAAUACAUGCAAGUCGAGCGAACAGACGAGGAGCUUGCUCCUCUGACGUUAGCGGCGGAAGGGUGAGUAACACGUGGAUAACCUACCUAUAAGACUGGGAUAACUUCGGGAAACCGGAGCUAAUACCGGAUAAUAUAUUGAACCGCAUGGUUCAAUAGUGAAAGACGGUUUUGCUGUCACUUAUAGAUGGAUCCGCGCCGCAUUAGCUAGUUGGUAAGGUAACGGCUUACCAAGGCAACGAUGCGUAGCCGACCUGAGAGGGUGAUCAGCCACACUGGGACUGAGACACGGUCCAGACUCCUACGGGAGGCAGCAGUAGGGAAUCUUCAGCAAUGGGCGAAAGAUUGACGGAGCAACGCCGCGUGAGUGAUGAAGGUCUUCGGAUCGUAAAACUCUGUUAUUAGGGAAGAACAAAUGUGUAAGUAACGAUGCACGUCUUGACGGUACCUAAACAGAAAGCCACGGCUAACUACGUG
rnacentral:rRNA from 1 species